rnacentral:rRNA from 1 species
UGGGGAAUAUUGCACAAUGGGGGAAACCCUGAUGCAGCGACGCCGCGUGAAGGAAGAAGUAUCUCGGUAUGUAAACUUCUAUCAGCAGGGAAGAUAAUGACGGUACCUGACUAAGAAGCCCCGGCUAACUACGUGCCAGCAGCCGCGGUAAUACGUAGGGGGCAAGCGUUAUCCGGAUUUAUUGGGUUUAAAGGGUGCGCAGGCGGAAAGUGCAAGUCAGCGGUCAAACGACGGGGCUCAACCCCGGGACUGCUUUGGAAACUGUAGGUCUAGAGUGCCGGAGAGGUAAGCGGAAUUCCUAGUGUAGCGGUGAAAUGCGUAGAUAUUAGGAGGAACACCAGUGGCGAAGGCGGCUUACUGGACGGUAACUGACGUUGAGGCUCGAAAGCGUGGGGAGCAAACAGGAUUAGAUACC